GUGUUCAAGACCUCACUCGCUGUAGGAAAUAUCCAUGCUGUGAUGUUCCUAAAAGUGAGUGAUUCUUCACCGGUUUUGAAGACACAGACAUCACACAACUUCUGUCAUCUGCAGCUUCACCUACAGUGUCAUAUGUCACACCCUCAGCAAAUGUCUCUGCCACAAAACAUCCC